rnacentral:misc_RNA from 1 species
CCCGAUGGCGGACAUUGAUCCAUUGCCGUGCUGGAUUUUCGGACGCUGCGCGCUGCUCGGGGAUGCGGCGCACGCAAUGUAUCCGUUCGGCUCCAACGGCGCGUCGCAGGCGAUCCUUGAUGCGCGCGUGCUGGCCUACGAACUGGCGACCGCGGCGACCAUCGAUGAUGCAUUGCGNGACGCGCAGCGUCGGCCGGUUGCGAGCGAAGUACAACUCGCAAAUCGGCGGCAGGCAGGCGAUGU